AUACUUACCUGGCAGGGAAACACCAUGAUCGCGUGUGUAGGUGGUUUCCCCAGAGUGAGGCUCACUCAUGGCACUGCGGGUGUGCUGACCUCUGCGAUUUCCCCAAAUGAGGGAAACUCGGCUGCAUAAUUUGUGGUAGUAGAGGACUGUGUUCACGCUCUCCCCUG
rfam:Tupaia chinensis contig14811, whole genome shotgun sequence.